rnacentral:snRNA from 1 species
CAGGUCGCCGCUUGUCGACACUA